GCAGCCGUGGUCCAGGGGAGCCUCAGGUAUUAGGCGACCCCUUAUCCUUCCUCCGCUUCACUUCCAACCUCCUUUUUAGGCAACUUGUAAUCCUCUGGUCUCCCAGGUCACCCUUUUUCCAGCUCGGAGCGGUCCUGGACUUGGUUUUAAAAAAAGAAAGAAAAAAAGGCCAGAUCCCGCAAAGAAGAACACAACCGAGGCGGCUGGGAGCGAAAGAAGCCGCCUCAGCCUCCGCUGCCUAGCGCCAAGGAAAGCGCCUCGCCUUCCCUUGGUCAGACCUAGCGCACGGCGAGGAGUUGGAAGGAGCUUGCUUGCCUUGCUUUCCCUUUCCCCUUGUCCUGGCCACCCGACAGAAAGGUGCGGGAGGUUUCCCUUAAUGGUUCCCCCCCUCCCUCCCGCCUCGGAAGACAAAUGGGGGAAGUGCUCCGGCCGGGAGACCGGACCAGUGAGAGGGAAGGGGCGAACUGCAAGGUGCCAGUGGAAUGCUCGGUUGUCGCUAACGAAGGGCCUAUUGGUUGCAAAAGCCUUCUUGGGAGGGAAGGUAGGAGGGGAGGAGGGGGAACCCAGAUAUUCCAAAGGCUCCUUCUCUAACUAUUGACAACUCUCAGGAUCUCCCUUCUUCCAGCCAAUAGAGAGGGGAAAGUGCUCCGCUCAAGGCAGGAGUUCCCUCUGGCUCAGGAGAGAAAGCUGCAGUGGAAUCGGGGCGAUUGGCACAGCCCAGGCUAAGGGCUGCUCCUUCUCCAGAGAUAAAAGGCCAUUUGACAACCUGGGGGGGUGUCGGAAAAGAGUAAAAAGCCGACUAAAAGGUGAGCGGGUAAGCCCGGGAAAAGCAAAAAAAAAAAAAAAAAAAGGCAGCUCAGCUUCCUUUCCCAUCCUCCUCGCUCCCAAAGCCAAGAUUCGUGACUCCUAAGCAAAGGAGAUAGAGAAAGGUUACAUCACGAGGACCACUCCAUUCCACAGCCAAGCCUGCCUUUGCCCACAGCGGUUGCCUUUUGCAUCUUUGCCUUCGUACACAACCUUCAGCCCCACCAACCAGCCUUGCCUUCCUUCCCCAUCAGCAGCAGGUCCCAUCUGCAGGGGCAAAGCCCCUGGCAGUUCUUAAGAGAAAAGUGUACUAAAGAAAGAGGGGGGGGGGAGGAAGAGAGGAGUGCAGAGAUAGGUCUGUAUUUGUGUGGUGUAUCCCAGUGGCAGAAGAAUCCCACCCUUGGCAAGCUGGAAGGAGAGAGGUGUCUGAAGAGAUGCUUUAAAAAAAAAAAAGAAAGAAAAGAAAAGCCCAACUACCCAAGGUUAAUGUCUUGCCUUGGCUUCUCAGUUCUCACAUUGGCAGCCAACUGUUGAUACCAGUCUGGAGAAACUACUGCAGUUGUGGGGAUCUUAAUGCUGCUUUUCAGCUCCAAAUGCCAAAGGGCAAAAGCAGAUCCUGAAUUCUUGCUUCCUUUAUGUCCACUCCCCCAGUUUUUCUCUGUGUAUGCUUGUAGCAUCUGGAAGGGGAUUGCUCUUUUUGGGUAGCUUUCCACUAUCUCUGCUCAACACACAGCAGCUGCCUAAGAGGCCUGAGGUGAUGGGCAACAAAAAUAUCUACCUUGCCCCUUCAGAAGCUCCCCAGUUUGGGUGUGUUCCCCCUGAUUGCAUAGUUUUAUACAGGGUUUCUCCUCCAAUGAAUAAACAGGGAUGUAAGUCUCACUCGUCUGGAGUACAGAGAAGGCCUCAGCCUCUUUUAGCUUUUCUCCCAAUUAAAAAGUCUCAUGUUUUUGCAGACAGAAGCUGAAGGAAAAGCUGGGGAUGCAUUAUAGGGGGAUGCUGAAUUUCUCCCCUUCCCACAUUUCUAGGGAAGAGUGGGGGAAUGGCUAAUUGUUAAUCAUUCUGCAUAGCUCACCUUUGUGCUGUUCUCACUCACUUGUGGGGACUGUUUGUUUUCAAGGGGAAAAGUGAUGGGGAAAAAAAAUCUUCUGUUUCUCAACGACACCUCUGGACCUUCCCCAUCUAAAACCAUAGCGCUCUACCUUUCCAUUUCAAAUGCUUGCCAAACAUAACCAAAAGCUAAGGCAAACUGCCUGCAGGUUAAGCUAAGCUGAGUCUGAACGAACUAAGUCAACUCUUCUCAGAGAAACUCAAGGUGUCUUGGAAGGAAUGGACAAAAAUAGGCUCUGUCUUUCUCAAUAUUCUUUAUGUACUUCACCUCUUGUUAUUCCCUCCUCCCUUGCCCCAAUGUAUCCUGAAAGAAGUUUGAAUUCAAUAUUUCUCAUCCGGUGACUGCCUUAAUACUUCCCACCCUUUUCUCCAUACCCUUUUGUGAAGCCUGCAACAGAAUCUCUUGUCCCCACCCCCCCAUCCUGUAUGGCAGCAGCAACAGCUGUAAGCAUUAAAGCAGAGUACAUUGUGCUUCCUUGCAGGUGAGGCCCCUACAUUUGGCCUGAAUGAGGCCUUUCACAGAGAUCUUAUCUCCAAGGAAAGAGAGCCGAAGAGGACUCACCAAAGUUGGGAGAAUGCAGUUAUCUUUCUGUAUUUUCUCCUUUGAGGAAACAUAUUUCUUCUGAAAAGCAGAGAUCCACUUUAGAAUUACACAAUUUACAGAAGAUAUUCGAGAUAAUAAUUUCACAGUAUGUAAUGGAAAAAAUCUAGGCAGAUUACAGAUGCGUGGCAGCAUUUUAUGAAAAAGAAAGAAAGAAAGAAAGAAAAAGAAAGAAAGAAAGAAAGGAAGAAAGAAAGAAAGAAAGAAAGAAAGAAAGAAAGAAAGAAAGAAAGAAAGAAAGAAAGAAAGAAAGAAAGAAAGAAAGAAAGAAACUAUUCUGCUUUGCUUUCAUGGACUAAAAUAAAUGAGAAAUAGAAGAAAAAGCUACAUUGACACCAGCAACCUUCUGUAUAUGCAGAAUAAAAAAGAACAAAAAACAACAGAGUUGCUUUCUCCUGGGCUUCUGGGCUUUUUUCUACAACGAAAAAAGAAGGAAAAGAACACCAAUUCUACUUGAUCUUGCUAUGUACUAUACAGAAUGUUGGAAAAAUUUAUGCAAACAGAUUUGGGCCUCUACUUGUAUGUUCUCCGAACAUAGCAAAACAGGACCAGGUUUUGUAGAAAGGAGCAAAGGGAGAAGCUAUAAUCCAGAAAAAUGAGCCAGAUUUGGCUGAGGGAAAAUAAAAAAUACCUCCCAAUAUUCCAUUUGGGAGAGGACAUUGGAAAAAGAUUGAAAGUACCCGUGACUACAUGAACACAGAAUCAUUUUAAGGCAGAAGGAAGAGUUUAAAAACACCAAAGUAUCAUGGAUAAUGCACAGUACAUCCUAAAAGCAAAGGAACUGUUUACAAUCUUAUAAACCCAGUACAAAAAUUGGGCAAUAAAAUCAAGAAAUUCUUCAACAAUCUAAUCCAAGCAAGAGAAAUAACAAAAGAAAGUUGUAUAUGAAAAACUAUGGAUCAGUCUUUUUGAUUUCUAUGGAUGCCUUAAAAUACACAAAUCUGACAUAACGAUUCACCCAAUUGCAUCACUGUAAGGAUCCAACAUACAAUUUGGCUAAGAAAUUCACCAAGAAACUCAGACACUUCCUUGAUGGGAGCUAAUGUUCCAUUAAUUGACCUUUAGAAUGCCUCAUGAAAAUUGAAGAGCUAAUAACUGAAGAAGAUGAAAUCAUGCUUUCAUUUGAUAACAUUGUGCUUUUCACAUCCAGCGAUUCAAAACUGGUGAAGGAAUCUAUCGCAGCACUCCUAUAUAGCAGACCAAAUCAUAACAGAUUACACAAAUAUUGAAAUCCCAAGAUUUAUUGAAUUUAUGGACCUGUAUCUCACCAUAUGCUUGCAGUUUGACAGAUGAGUAUACAAACAAAUGGGGAAGCGUCAAUGGGAUCAAUCAUCUCCAGUUUCCUAGUAGAAAUAGUGAUACAGUGUCUUGAAGUAGCAGCGUUCCUAUGCAUAUCACCCAAAACAUGGAUUUGUUAUGAGGAUAUUUUUGUCAUAAUCAAGAAAUAACAAUUAAACAAUACACACAAGACAAUACCCUAUGGGAGAAAUUAGAAGGCACUACUAUUGAUAAAUGCCUUCUCUUCCUCAUACAAAAAUUGUAUGCCAAUUCCACCUUGAAAGUGAGGUGUAAUCCCCAAGGGACUUUAACCGGCUUAGUAAGGGUACAAAAAGGGGUACGGCAGGGUUGCAUCCUGUCAUCCUGUCUCUCUCCCUUUUUAACUUCUGCCCUUGUCACCUCACGCCUGGACUACUGCAACGUGCUCUACAUGGGGCUACCCUUGAAAAGUAUUCGGAGACUACAGUUGGUCCAGAAUGCAGCCGCGC